rnacentral:rRNA from 1 species
UCUGGGACAAGCCCUGGAAACGGGGUCUAAUACCGGAUAACACUCCUGCCUGCAUGGGUGGGGGUUAAAAGCUCCGGCGGUGAAGGAUGAGCCCGCGGCCUAUCAGCUUGUUGGUGAGGUAGUGGCUCACCAAGGCGACGACGGGUAGCCGGCCUGAGAGGGCGACCGGCCACACUGGGACUGAGACACGGCCCAGACUCCUACGGGAGGCAGCAGUGGGGAAUAUUGCACAAUGGGCGAAAGCCUGAUGCAGCGACGCCGCGUGAGGGAUGACGGCCUUCGGGUUGUAAACCUCUUUCAGCAGGGAAGAAGCGAAAGUGACGGUACCUGCAGAAGAAGCGCCGGCUAACUACGUGCCAGCAGCCGCGGUAAUACGUAGGGCGCAAGCGUUGUCCGGAAUUAUUGGGCGUAAAGAGCUCGUAGGCGGCUUGUCACGUCGGUUGUGAAAGCCCGGGGCUUAACCCCGGGUCUGCAGUCGAUACGGGCAGGCUAGAGUGUGGUAGGGGAGAUCGGAAUUCCUGGUGUAGCGGUGAAAUGCGCAGAUAUCAGAGAGGAACACCGGUGGCGAAGGCGGAUCUCUGGGCCAUUACUGACGCUGAGGAGCGAAAGCGUGGGGAGCGAACAGGAUUAGAUACCCUGGUAGUCCACGCCGUAAACGGUGGGAAACUAGGUGUUGGCGACAUUCCACGUCGUCGGUGCCGCAGCUAACGCAUUAAGUUCCCCGCCUGG